CCUACGGGCGGCAGCAGUGAGGAAUAUUGGUCAAUGGACGAGAGUCUGAACCAGCCAAGUAGCGUGAAGGAUGACUGCCCUAUGGGUUGUAAACUUCUUUUAUAUGGGAAUAAAAUGUUCCACGUGUGGGAUUUUGUAUGUACCAUAUGAAUAAAGAUCGGCUAACUCCGUGCCAGCAGCCGCGGUAAUACGGAGGAUACGAGCGUUAUCCGGAUUUAUUGGGUUUAAAGGGAGCGUAGGUGGAUUGUUAAGUCAGUUGUGAAAGUUUGCGGCUCAACCGUAAAAUUGCAGUUGAAACUGGCAGUCGUGAGUACAGUAGAGGUGGGCGGAAUUCGUGGUGUAGCGGUGAAAUGCUUAGAUAUCACGAAGAACUCCGAUUGCGAAGGCAGCUCACUGGACUGCAACUGACACUGAGGCUCGAAAGUGUGGGUAUCAAACAGGAUUAGAUACCCCGGUAGUC
rnacentral:rRNA from 1 species